GCUCUCGUAGCUUAAAUAAAGCGUUACAUUGAAGCUGUAAAUAUGGCGUAAGUCCAAGAGCA
rnacentral:tRNA from 1 species